rnacentral:rRNA from 1 species
AGGACGAACGCUGGCGGCGUGCUUAACACAUGCAAGUCGAGCGGAAAGGCCCUUCGGGGUACUCGAGCGGCGAACGGGUGAGUAACACGUGAGCAACCUGCCCUGGACUUUGGGAUAACCCUCGGAAACGGGGGCUAAUACCGGAUAUUACUUCUGCCCGCAUGGGUGGUGGUGGAAAGUUUUUUCGGUCUGGGAUGGGCUCGCGGACUAUCAGCUUGUUGGUGGGGUGAUGGCCUACCAAGGCGACGACGGUUAG